rnacentral:lncRNA from 1 species
GUAAAUGCCUCUCUUACAGAACACAAUUCCUUGGCUGAACCCCAUAUAAACCCUUGCUAUCAAUAUAUUUCACAUCCUUCUCUGAAACUUAAAUCAUAACCGUGAUCAGUAUCUUCAAGAGACCUCCUUUUCUUGUGUCAAAAUCCACCAUACUUUUGUUUCUUAUCCUUGCUGCCGGUGUUACUCUUGUGAUUGCAACCAAGCAACCAAAUUUCCGAGCAAGCAGCAUGUAUUCUCCACAAAGUAACCGUCCCGUUCAGCCAUCAGGACUGGAUUCAGGAGUUGAACUGGGAUUUAUUUUUUGGGCUGGCCCAAACCAGUGGCCUGGAUGGGCUAGGCAACACGCGUGCGCUGAGGCACGCGUGUUGCCACACUGUGCAAGUGAAUUAAAUUUCACUUGCACAGUGUAAAAUGCCAAUUGAUUGUAACAAUAGAAGAAGAAUAAGCCGCUUGCCUGGUCUAUUGGAGGGCGAAGCUCCUCUCUUGCUUUCGAAUUCCCUUGCUCUGGACGAAGACUAUGAUGGUAAGGGUCCUGGUGCUGCGGGUUGGUUGGAUCCAAGCUUUCUCUGGUUCUCGCCCGUGCUGCCUUUCUCCUCUGCUCUCUGUUUCUCUUCUCCCUGUGUUUUCGUUCUUCUCUAUGUCCCCUGCGUUUUCGGUGUCUUCCCCCUGUUUUUGUCUGUGUCCUGGCUCCCCCCCGUGGAUCUUGCUUACGUUUUUUUUAUUGUUCCUCAGUCCUCGUGAUGAAGAACAGAGGACGGUGCUGGCUUCUCCUUUUAAAUUUGGGUCUGGUUUUUUUCUUCUCUGGCUUUCGUCCCCUGGAUUUAGCUUGAGUUCUCUUUUGGUUUUUCCUCCAACAUUCCCCUGGUUCUCCUCUGCCCCCCUGGGUUUUUUGGCUCUGUUUUGCUCUGCUUUCUUUCUGUUAUUGGCUCUGUUUUUUGGGUUGAUUUCUUCCUGUCCUGGUUC